rnacentral:rRNA from 1 species
GAUGAACGCUGGCGGCGUGCCUAAUACAUGCAAGUCGAGCGAACAGACGAGGAGCUUGCUCCUCUGACGUUAGCGGCGGACGGGUGAGUAACACGUGGAUAACCUACCUAUAAGACUGGGAUAACUUCGGGAAACCGGAGCUAAUACCGGAUAAUAUAUUGAACCGCAUGGUUCAAUAGUGAAAGACGGUUUUGCUGUCACUUAUAGAUGGAUCCGCGCCGCAUUAGCUAGUUGGUAAGGUAACGGCUUACCAAGGCAACGAUGCGUAGCCGACCUGAGAGGGCGACCGGCCACACUGGAACUGAGACACGGUCCAGACUCCUACGGGAGGCAGCAGUAGGGAAUUUUGCGCAAUGGGGGAAAGCCUGAUCGAGCAACGCCGCGUGAGGGAUGAAGGUCUUCGGAUCGUAAAACUCUGUUAUUAGGGAAGAACAAAUGUGUAAGUAACUAUGCACGUCUUGACGGUACCUAAUCAGAAAGCCACGGCUAACUACGUG